UACGUAGGGCGCAAGCGUUAUCCGGAAUUAUUGGGCGUAAAGAGCUCGUAGGCGGUCUGUCGCGUCGGCUGUGAAAUCCCGAGGCUCAACCUCGGGUCUGCAGUCGAUACGGGCAAACUAGAGUAUUGCAGGGGAGACUGGAAUUCCUGGUGUAGCGGUGAAAUGCGCAGAUAUCAGGAGGAACACCGGUGGCGAAGGCGGGUCUCUGGGCAAUAACUGACGCUGAGGAGCGAAAGCGUGGGGAGCGAACAGG
rnacentral:rRNA from 1 species